UGGAUGACUCUCGACAACGGAUAUCUGGGCUCUCGCAUCGAUGAAGAACGUAGCGAAAUGCGAUACUUGGUGUGAAUUGCAGAACCCCGUGAACCAUCGAGUCUUUGAACGCAAGUUGUGCCUGAUGCCAUUUGGUGGAGGGCACAUCUGCCUGUGUGUCACGU
rnacentral:rRNA from 13 species